rnacentral:rRNA from 1 species
CCAUCUUUCACAAUGGGCGAAAGCCUGAUGGAGCGACGCCGCGUGGAGGUUAAGGUCUUCGGAUUGUAAACUCCUGUCAUGCGAGAACAAAGCCCGCAAGGGUCUGAUAGUAUCGCAAGAGGAAGAGACGGCUAACUCUGUGCCAGCAGCCGCGGUAAUACAGAGGUCUCAAGCGUUGUUCGGAAUUACUGGGCGUAAAGGGUGCGCAGGCUGCGUUGAAAGUCAGAUGUGCAAUUCAGGGGCUCAACCUCUGGACUGCAUCCGAUACUACAAUGCUAGAGUCAUGGAGGGGGAUCUGGAAUUCUCGGUGUAGCAGUGAAAUGCGUAGAUAUCGAGAGGAACACCAACGGCGAAGGCAGGAUCCUGGACAUGUACUGACGCUCAUGCACGAAGGCUCGGGUAGCAAACGGGAUUAGAUACCCCGGUAGUCCAAGCAGUAAACGGUGCACGUUUGGUAUGAGGGGCAACCCCCCUUGUGCCGUAGUUAACGCGAUAAACGUGCCGCCUGGGUAGUACGAUCGCAAGAUUAAAACUCAAAGAGAUUGACGGGGACCCGCACAAGCGGUGGAGUAUGUGGCUUAAUUCGAUGCAACGCGAAGAACCUUACCUGGGCUUGACAUGAGAUUUGUCUCCGGUGAAAGCCGGAUAGUGCAGAAAUGCACGGGUCCCACAGGUGCUGCAUGGCUGUCGUCAGCUCGUGUCGUGAGAUGUUGGGUUAAGUCCCGCAACGAGCGCAACCCCUGUAAUUUGUUGCCACCGGAUUCUUCCGAGCACUCAAAUUAGACUGCCCAGAUCAACUGGGAGGAAGGUGGGGAUGACGUCAAGUCCGUAUGGCCCUUACGCCCAGGGCUGCACACGUACUACAAUGGCCAGUACAAUAUGAACCUUCUUCGCAAGGAGUGGGAAAUCGAUAAAACUGGUCUCAGUUCAGAUUGCAGGCUGCAACUCGCCUGCAUGAAGUCGGAAUCGCUAGUAAUGACGCAUCAGCUACGGCGUCGUGAAUACGUUCCCGGGUCUUGUACACACCGCCCGUCACAUCAUGGAAGCUGGCGUUGCCCAAAGCAUUUGGAAGACUUGUCUCCAUAUUCAAAGGCAAAGCUGGCAACUGGGAUGAAGUCGUAACAAGGUAGCCGUAGGGGAACCUGCGGCUG